GAGGGUGCAGCUCAGUGGCAGAGUGUGUGCUUAGCAUGCACGAGGUCCUGGGUUCAAUCCCCAGCACCUCCA
rnacentral:tRNA from 1 species